AAAAAAUAUUCACUAAGAACAAAUAAUAAAUUAUUAGGAUUUUUGGACAUGCUUUGUUAACAUUAUGGUAACAUGGAAGGAAAAAAGAUUUAGUAGGAUGGUAGGAAAAUGAGAAUUAUAACUUGGUUUUCCACUGGAAAGCUUCCAUGGAUGUUAAAGGUUCUUGUGGAGCUGUAGCUGCUGCUAGAGAAGUGUAUUGUGCUGGAGGACAGCAGGUGGCAGCAGUGAAGCGCUGGUGUCUGUCCUCAUCCACCCACCGCCUCUGAUGGAUGUCAGGCACUGCACAAACAUUCAUGAUGGAAAAUGAUUCGGGUUUCCUGAUGUAUAAACGCUGCGGCUCCAUCAGAGACGCUUCUGAGGCAGAAGCUCUUUCUGGUGCGGUGGGCUCCUCCGUUCCUUCGUCCUUUGAGACGUGAGGUUGGUCUGAAGUGUUUUUGUGAUGUUAUUGUAUCUGCUCGCUCCAUGACUCCAGUCGGCUGUAAUUACAGGCCUGCAGGUCCAGCGGCUUGAGCUCUAAACCGGGCCGCUCUCUGAUGUCUGAUGGAGGAAAAUGAUUUCCACUCUGCUCUGUAUGAUUCAAACGCACUGGAGCAAACCACAAUCAUACGUAAUGACACAUAAAUCAUACUCGAGGAGGAAAAACAAGCACAGAGAGGAAAAAGCGUAGGCCAGUGCAUGUUGUGUGAACACACCAUCUGCAGGCUUUAAAGUGCAGAUCUUUGAACAUUGCUGCCUGGAAGAGAGAUCUUUGUGUAGCGGAUCUCAGAUCUUAGGCUGAUGUUGGCAGAGCACCAGCUCUCAGUGUGUGUGUGUGUGUGUGUGUGUGUGUGUGUGUGUGUGUUUGUGUGUUUGUGUGUGUUUGUGUGAGUGUCUUCAGAUCAUGCAGGGGUUUCUGUCUCCUCAUAUCUCCUGCAUCGUUUGGCAGAAGAACAGCUCGUCCUCCAAAGGUGAGCGAGGCUGUGGGAACAAUGGCUCUGGAAGGAAAAACAGGGAGGAUCCGGAUAUCCCAUCCCAUUAACUACACCCUCUUCCUGAAGAGCUUUCCAGCAGCAUCCAGGAAGAGGAUGAGGAGGUCCCUCACGCCUGAUGCUCUGGUUAUUUAUGAGCUAUAUUCAUCCUUGAACGAGUUCAAUCUCUUCACACGUUCCAUCUGCGUGCAUCAAUUCUCCAGCCGCUGAAACAAAGCUUGUUUGUUUAACGAGGAGAGGUGAAUAUAUUUACACACUUAAGCAUUUGAGCCGCUCAUGCAGCUCUCAAAUCAU
ensembl:lncRNA